AUUGAACGCUGGCGGCAAGCUUAACACAUGCAAGUCGAACGAGUGGCGGACGGGUGAGUAAUGCCUGGGAAACUGGCUGAUGGAGGGGGAUAACUACGGGAAACUGUAGCUAAUACCGCGUACCAUCGGAUGUGCCCAGGUGGGAUUAGGUAGUAGGUGAGGUAAAGGCUCACCAAGGCGACGAUCCCUAGCUGGUCUGAGAGGAUGACCAGCCACACUGGGACUGAGACACGGCCCAGACUCCUACGGGAGGCAGCAGUGGGGAAUAUUGCGCAAUGGGCGCAAGCCUGAUGCAGCCAGGCCGCGUGAAUGAAGAAGGCCUUCGGGUUGUAAAGUACUUUCGGUAGCGAGGCGUUACCUACAGAAGAAGCACCGGCUAACUCCGUGCCAGCAGCCGCGGUAAUAC
rnacentral:rRNA from 1 species